rnacentral:rRNA from 1 species
GACGAACGCUGGCGGCGUGCCUAAUACAUGCAAGUCGAACGCACAGACUAGGAGCUUGCUCCUCUCGGAUUAGUUGCGGACGGGUGAGUAACACGUGGAUAACCUACCUAUUAGACUGGGAUAACUUUGGGAAACCGUAGCUAAUACCGCAUAAUAUUAUAUAUCGCAUGGUUUUUUCUUGAAAGACGCUUUUGCAUUACCUUCUAGAUGACUCCCGUCCUCAUUGCCUGUUUGGUAGGGUAACGGCUUACCAGGGAACCGAUGCGUACCCGCCCGGAGAGGGGGAUCGGCAACACUGGAACUGAGACACGGUCCAGACUCCUACGGGAGGAAGCAGUAGGGAAUCUUCCGCAAUGGGCGAAAGCCUGACGGAGCAACGCCGCGUGAGUGAUGAAGGUCUUCGGAUCGUAAAACUCUGUUAUUAGGGAAGAACAAAUGUGUAAGUAACUAUGCACGUCUUGACGGUACCUAAUCAGAAAGCCACGGCUAACUACGUG